UUUUGGGGAGUAGAAAACGGCGGACAAUAUAGAGCAAGGAUUGGACAGGUAUGGUCCAUUAGCAACGAUUGUUGAGCAUUUAUUGGUGUUGUUGCUGUGUGUAAUAAGUGCAGGGGAGAACUCACACAUGUCUAUCGAUUUUGGUGCAUGUAGGUAGACGAGAUGGACAUGACCGUCUGUGUCAUUGGGGGCGAAUGGACGUAUUCCGACGAAGGGUUUUGG
rnacentral:lncRNA from 1 species